AAAUUAUUAGGUUGGUGCAAAAGUAAUUGCAGUUUUUGUCAUUACUUUUAAUUGUAAAAACUGCAAUUACUUUUGCACCAACCUAAUAAUUUA
ensembl:miRNA